AGGGAGUGACAAAACCCUUCCAGCAGGUGAUUGAUGUCAGUUCAGGGGAUCCUUUUGUCAUUUGUUCGCCAGGUCUUGGCAGCGUGUCUUUACCUUGAGUUCCUCACAGAAAAAUGCCUCCCUCUGGAUGCCAGGCAGAGGGCACCGAAGCUUCUGGGGGCCUGCAGUGGAGGGAGCGUGGGCUCAUACUCUUUAACCUCCUGUGGCAUACCAUGCAUCCAGAAAAGUGUUGCCGAGUUCAUCAAGAGGUGAGAUGGUGGAGUGGGUUCGAACCCAGAAGACCUCAUCUUCUCCAGUGGUUCUCAGAAGACUGUAAUGGUUGACAGUGCCAAGUCCGUUGGAACAGGAACUGACACAGCUGUGUGUUUUGGCUCCUCCUGCCACCCUGGAGGAGAUCUUGGCAUGACUUUGCUCUUUCCACCUGCGCCUGCUGGACACAUUUCCCUGACAGAAGUGUCAAGGAC